rnacentral:rRNA from 1 species
GAUCAUGGCUCAGGAUGAACGCUGGCGGCGUGCCUAAUACAUGCAAGUCGAACGCGCAGCGAGAGGUGCUUGCACCUUUCAAGCGAGUGGCGAACGGGUGAGUAACACGUGGAUAACCUGCCUCAAGGCUGGGGAUAACAUUUGGAAACAGAUGCUAAUACCGAAUAAAACUUAGUAUCGCAUAAUAUCAAGUUAAAAGGCGCUACGGCGUCACCUAGAGAUGGAUCCGCGGUG